AGACAAUGGGACAAAGACACUGGGAUGAAGACACUGGACCAGGGAGACACUGGGAUGAAGACACUGGGAUGGAUGUGGGCAGCAGGCACCUCAGUUUGUUUGAUCUUCCCCGUGAGUUCAUCUACCCCAGACCCGAUGACCCGAUGACCCCCUAUGUCUCAUGGCUUAUGGGCCAACAGUGGUGUGGCGUCAUCAGUGAGAUGCCUAACCUCAGUGUCAUGUUGGCCAUGCGGCCGGAGACUGAACCUGGUUGGAGGGAACAGGAGCCCGAUCCUCAGAAGAGGAGCUGCUUCAUCCUCAGAAUGUUUUCAUACGUUGAUCUGGACGUUAGGAGCUUCUGAUCCUGUCAUCCUCACCUGAUUGUCCCUCAUUCCCUUCACCUGGUCCUCACGCCCUUCUCACCUGCC